GACACUUUGGCCGAGUGGUUAAGGCGAUGCCCUGCUAUUUGUACCACCGUAGGUGAGGCAUUACAUUCGUGUGCGCAGGUUCGAAUCCUGCAGGUGUCG
rfam:Claviceps purpurea 20.1, WGS project CAGA01000000 data, contig: scaffold00045